UACGGAGGGGGCUAGCGUUGUUCGGAAUUACUGGGCGUAAAGAGUGUGUAGGCGGUGCUCUAAGUUUGUCGUGAAAUCUCCCGGCUUAACUGGGAGGGUGCGGCGAAAACUGGAGUGCUAGAGGGUGGGAGAGGAAAGCGGAAUUCCUGGUGUAGCGGUGAAAUGCGUAGAUAUCAGGAGGAACACCUGCGGUGUAGACAGCUUUCUGGACCACUUCUGACGCUGAGACACAAAAGCGUGGGUAGCAAACAGG
rnacentral:rRNA from 1 species